UGCACUCACUACUGUAAGUCACUCUGGAUAAGAGCGUCUACUAAAUGACCCCAA
rfam:Salmo salar isolate Sally breed double haploid chromosome ssa16, whole genome shotgun sequence.